rnacentral:rRNA from 1 species
GAUGAACGCUGGCGGCGUGCCUAAUACAUGCAAGUCGAACGCACCGCAAGGUGAGUGGUGAACGGGUGAGUAGGACAUAAGUAACCUGGCCUGGCGAGGGGGACAACUGCUGGAAACGGCAGCUAAGACCGCAUAGGCCUGCGGACCGCAUGGACCGGAGGUUAAAUAUCCCAAGGGAUAGCGCGAGGAUGGACUUAUGGCGCAUUAGCUGGUUGGCGGGGUAGAGGCCCACCAAGGCGACGAUGCGUAGCCGAACUGAGAGGGUGGACGGCCACACUGGGACUGAGACACGGCCCAGACUCCUACGGGAGGCAGCAGUAGGGAAUUUUCGGCAAUGGGCGGAAGCCUGACCGAGCAACGCCGCGUGAAGGAAGAAGUGCUUCGGCAUGUAAACUUCUGUUAUAAAGGAAGAACGGCGGAUGGAGGGAAUGCCAUCCGAGUGACGGUACUUUAUGAGAAAGCCACGGCUAACUACGUGCCAGCCGCCGCAGUAAGAC